rnacentral:lncRNA from 1 species
GCUUUACUUGGCUCAAGUGCUUGGUCAAGAUUCCGGUUUGGCUUGCAAUUGAUUUCAGGAACGCGAUUUCCUGGGGAAGUUUGGAAAUCUUAUAAUUCAGCUCUUGAAUCAUGGAAGUGGUUUUCAGUCUGUGAAAGUGUGAUAGCAAAGUAAAGGAAGUAAAAUACGUUGUGAAGCUUUGGGUAAGUGUGAUUCUUCCUUCCAGUAAGACUGCCCAAGAAGCACAUUGGCUGUAAAUAUUGAACUGUUUCUUGAAAAUAUACGGAAAUUUAUCAGUUAUCAGACAUACUGUUCACAUGUAAU